rnacentral:rRNA from 1 species
UACGUAGGGGGCGAGCGUUGUCCGGAUUCAUUGGGCGUAAAGCGCGCGUAGGCGGCUUCGUAAGUCGGCCGUGAAAUCUCCAGGCUUAACUUGGAGGGGUCGGGCGAGACUGCGGAGCUCGAGGUGGGCAGAGGGCAGUGGAAUUCCGGGUGUAGUGGUGGAAUGCGUAGAGAUCCGGAGGAACACCAGUGGCGAAGGCGGCUGCCUGGGCCUGGCCUGACGCUGAGGCGCGAAAGCGUGGGGAGCGAUCCGG